CCUACGGGUGGCAGCAGUGAGGAAUAUUGGUCAAUGGGCUUACGCCUGAACCAGCCAAGUCGCGUGAGGGAAGACUGCCCUAUGGGUUGUAAACCUCUUUUGUCAGGGAGCAACGCCGGCUACGUGUAGCCGGACUGAGAGUACCUGAAGAAAAAGCAUCGGCUAACUCCGUGCCAGCAGCCGCGGUAAUACGGGGGAUGCGAGGGUUAUCCGGAUUUAUUGGGUUUAAAGGGUGCGUGGGCGGAAUGCCAAGUCAGCGGUAAAAUCGCGGGGCUCAACCUCGCUCCGACGUUGAAACUGGCGGUCGUGAGUGAGCGAGAGGUAUGCGGAAUGCGUGGUGUAGCGGUGAAAUGCGUAGAUAGCACGCGGAACUCCGAUUGCGAAGGCAGCAUACCGGCGCCCAACUGACGCUGAGGCACGAAAGCGUGGGUAUCGAACAGGAUUAGAUACCCCGGUAGUC
rnacentral:rRNA from 1 species